rnacentral:snRNA from 1 species
UCCUUAUGCCUUAGUACAACUUAUAUGUUUUUAAUAGUGGGGAUAUUACAUAAUCAUAUACAUAUAUUUAUCUAUAAUCAAGUUGUAUGUUUUGGGGGAUAUUCCCAAAUAUUCAUUUGAUUACUUUCUCAUUUAUUAAACUGUUACGAACAGAUACUACACUUGAUCUUAGCCAAAAGGCCGAGAAGCAAU